rnacentral:rRNA from 1 species
GAUGAACGCUGGCGGCGUGCCUAAUACAUGCCAGUCGAGCGAACAGACGAGGAGCUUGCUCCUCUGACGUUAGCGGCGGACGGGUGAGUAACACGUGGAUAACCUACCUAUAAGACUGGGAUAACUUCGGGAAACCGGAGCUAAUACCGGAUAAUAUAUUGAACCGCAUGGUUCAAUAGUGAAAGACGGUUUUGCUGUCACUUAUAGAUGGAUCCGCGCCGCAUUAGCUAGUUGGUAAGGUAACGGCUUACCAAGGCGACGAUGCGUAGCCGACCUGAGAGGGUGAUCGGCCACACUGGAACUGAGACACGGUCCAGACUCCUACGGGAGGCAGCAGUAGGGAAUCUUCCGCAAUGGGCGAAAGCCUGACGGAGCAACGCCGCGUGAGUGAUGAAGGUCUUCGGAUCGUAAAACUCUGUUAUUAGGGAAGAACAAAUGUGUAAGUAACUAUGCACGUCUUGACGGUACCUAAUCAGAAAGUCACGGCUAACUACGUG